UACGUAGGGCGCAAGCGUUAUCCGGAAUUAUUGGGCCGUAAAAGAGCUCGUAGGCGGUUUGUCGCGUCUGCCGUGAAAGUCCGGGGCUCAACUCCGGAUCUGCGGUGGGUACGGGCAGACUAGAGUGAUGUAGGGGAGACUGGAAUUCCUGGUGUAGCGGUGAAAUGCGCAGAUAGUCAGGAGGAACACCGAUGGCGAAGGCAGGUC
rnacentral:rRNA from 1 species